UACGUAGGAGACGAGCGUUGUCCGGAAUUACUGGGCGUAAAGUGUGCGCAGGCGGCGUCGCAAGUCGAGUGUGAAAGCCCCGAGCUUAACUUGGGAAUUGCGCUCGAAACUACGAUGCUGGAGUGUGGCAGAGGAAGGUGGAAUUCCACGUGUAGCGGUGAAAUGCGUAGAGAUGUGGAGGAACACCGAUGGCGAAGGCAGCCUUCUGGGCCAACACUGACGCUCAUGCACGAAAGCGUGGGGAGCAAACAGG
rnacentral:rRNA from 1 species